rnacentral:rRNA from 1 species
CGCGUAGGCGGUCUUUUAAGUCAGGUGUGAAAGCCCGGGGCUCAACCCCGGAAGUGCACUUGAAACUAAGAGACUUGAGUAUGGGAGAGGGAAGUGGAAUUCCUGGUGUAGCGGUGAAAUGCGUAGAUAUCAGGAGGAACAUCAGUGGCGAAGGCGACCUCCUGGACCAAUACUGACGCUGAGGCGCGAAGGCGUGGGGAGCAAACA